rnacentral:rRNA from 1 species
UACGUAGGGUCCAAGCGUUAUCCGGAAUCACUGGGCGUAAAGCGUGCGUAGGUGGCGUGUUAAGUGUGAUGUUAAAUCGCGGGGCUCAACCCUGUCGGUGCGUCGCAUACUGGCAUGCUAGAGGAAAGCAGAGGCAAGUGGAAUUGGUAGUGUAGCAGUGAAAUGCGUAGAUAUUACCAGGAACACCAAUGGCGAAGGCAGCUUGCUGGGCUUUUUCUGACACUGAGGUACGAAAGCGUGGGGAGCGAACAGG